CCUUGGCUUUGUUUCUGACUACGUUUUCUCUUUAUCCUUAUCUGUUCUGGUUGUCGGCUUGUUGUUUACUGUGUACCAGACUCCGGCUUGUCCUAGUUUACGCUGUCUCUCUGUGCCCUUGAUUUCGGAUCGUUCCUGACUCUGUCUCCUCUCAUAUACGUCAAGUCCGGCCAUUCUAAGGUCCGGUAGACGUAUCUCUCCUCUGUGUUGUCUUCUGUUUAGCUGAAUCCUGCGUGUUGGGGUAUAUUCUCGUUACACUAACCCAUUGUUGUGCUGCCAUGGCCUAUGACCAGGAAAGGAAAUUUACGGUAAGUAUGGAUAAAUUUUCAUCUAUAAAUGCAUGUCCAUUACCCUGUAUAACAGCAUGUCCAUAACCCUGUAUAACUGCAUGUCCAUUCCCCUGUAUAACUGCAUGUCCAUUACCCUGUAUAACUGCAUGUCCAUUACCCUGUAUUACAUGUUCAUUACUCUGUAUAACACAAAGUCCACUACCAUGUAUAACAAUAUGUCAAUUACCAUAUAUAACAAUAUGCAUGAACUAGGCGAACAAUCGCUACCUAGGAGCCAAAGGAUGAAUUCGGGAUUUCAUUUAGUUUUGGACUCCCGAAAUUGACCAACCGCUACUACUUUUUUUAUGGAACUAUUUUGGGCAGAAGUGGUCGGUCAAAAGUUUUGAUUUCAAUGGAAAAUCCAUACCACCAAACCGAUCUGAGUGAUUUUUGGAUAUGAUGGUCACACAGAUCAAGGCUAUCCAUGAAUGUGACUGUAACGGCACCCCCAGGCAUAAAAAGGAGUUAAAAGCCGUUUAGUAGAUCUUCCCUUCCAGAGACACAGGCACAGAUACUGUAGACACUAAUCCACCGAACCAGAGAAGCAUAUGAAUGCCGUAAACAGCUGAACCGGAACCACGCGAAUGCUGUAAACAGCCGAAUAGGAAAAACCAUACAAAUAGGUUUACACUCCUAGCAGUCAAACUGGAACAGCAUACAGUAAAUCCCCCCCCAAGAACGAGACAAAGCUCGGUGUUGAGGGUCAAGCAGUGAACAGCCAGAGCUGUGGGUUUAUUGUUCUUAUAUACACAUUAGUAGCACCCACAGGGUUUUGGAAAACAACCAAUAAACACGUACAAUACACUCAGACACUCCCACAUGAAAUCCUCCCCUCUGCCUGUGAUACAAUUACCUUACACAAUGGGUAAUAUAAUUAUCACAGACAGAGAAAUACAGUUUUUCCACAUUAUUCAUAACUUUAAAAGUAUGC